rnacentral:lncRNA from 1 species
UCGACUCCGUCCCUACUUUUGCUCUCGGUAGCAGCUGUUGAGAUGAGAUUACCCCAUACCCUGCAGAGAGCGUCAGCUCGACGCCGUACACGCGUAUGGGGUAAUCUCAACUCAACAGCCGCUCCCUGUGAGGUUUUCCUUGGUGUUUGUUAAAUCCCAAGAAAGUUGACCGCUGGGAUAAAUUAAUGCUUUCAGAGGACAAGGUUAGUGGUGCAAUUUCUUGGUUAUUGACAGAAUUUUUUAGUCUUCGUCGGCAGGUUCUGCGCAGGAAGCUUUUGAAGAGGCAGUGUUGGUCUUCAGAUGAAACAGCUGCCUAUAGAGCAGAUCUGGAGACUUAGCAGCUGCCUGUGUAUCAGAUCUGGAGGAGGAGCUGGUUGUUUUGUGCCUCGUGAGGAGGAUACAGAUUGAUAGAUGAACUAGUCUUAUCAUUAUAGUGUACAUUUCAUGUUCCUAGCUUGCUCAAUACUUGAGUUCUUAUGCCAGUACACUAUGGAAGAAAGUAAUCUAUUGUUAAAUAUGACUUGAUUGGUAAUGACACUAUGGCAGAAGGUAAUUAUGUUAUAGUGCAGCUUUGCUAUCUUUGUAAUCAGGCCAUGUAAUUCCUGGCUGGUCGAUGGCUAAGUUAAUUCAGAACGGGUCUCAUUUUUUGAGCCUAUUUCUUGGGUGAGGGUACUCGCCUUUUUCUCAUCUAUUUUUGUGUGGAAAUACUGUGCACACGAUGGUUGCUGGACAAAAAUCACAUGACGCUCUGAUCUACAUGGAUACAUGGCUUUAAUUUUGUGUCAUGCGUGGUGAAUCGGUUGCAUAAUAUAGUCCAUGUAGCAGUUGCCCAUGGAUCGGGUCUGGAAGAGGAACUGGUUGUUUUGGGUCUUCCGAGGAGGACACAAACUGCAGCCGAAACUAUAGAUGAAGUAGUCUUAUCAUUUUAUGUACGGUACAAAUAUACUGAACUAGUCCAUGUAUAUCUGAUUUUUUCAGAAUUUUUUCAAAUGUAGAAAUAUGAAAUUUGAAUUUUGCAAAUGGAGGCCUGCAUGGAGCUCGGCCUCUUAAGUUUAAAAAUCUCCAGAUUAACAGGAAACUGAAUAUAGUGGCGCAUGAGAUUGCAAAGUUUAGUAUUGUUAUUGUAUAUUUAUUAACAGUGUUUCGCCCUGCAUGGCACGAGAUGUAAAGAGUGAUUGUAUGAAUGUUCCUGCUCGCUCAAUAGUUGAGUUCUUAUGUCAGUAAACUAUUUGAUAUGCUUUGUUGACGAACAUAUACUUUUGUAAGUAAUCUCUUCUACAUGUUUUUGUUAUUAGAUGGUACUGUUUUCUUCUCUUGGGUGAGGGUACUCGCCUUUUUCUCAUCUAUUUUAGUGGCUUAGCUGCAGUUGCAGACCGGUGACAAAGAUUAUACAUGUACAGUAUAAUAUAUAUACAACAUAAUUUUAGCACGAAAAGUAGACUACAAGAUUGUAAAAUUUGAUAUAAGUUUAACCAAUAGUCACAAAGACAUACAUUAUAAUUAAGAAAACUAAUUCUGUUACAGCAUGAACCUCGUCAAAAAUUUGACACAUAUAAGAUAAACAAUUAAAGCUAAUGUAAAAUCAAAUGCAAGAGUGUUCUCGUAUGAAGCAUGUAGCAGAAAAAAAAUUGUUUGGAAUUAAUAGUAUGCUCCAAGCAUUCAAAAUAUAUAACAUCCAAGACAACAGAAUAUAUAUCAUCAAACUCAUGCCAUUUGAUUUUAUUACAUGGAGAUUUGUCUGAAUUUUUUUAGUUUUCCUUUUGCCUUUUUCUGUUUGCUUGAUUAAGUCACCUAGAUGAGACUUGCGUAAUUCUCGUUUUAUGAGAGCUAAACAUAUCCUAAUACAAUCUUGCUAAGUAUGUCACUUGAUUGAGACUUGGUUAUAUCUUAGUCGGCCGAGACCUAGCCACACCCUUCUUUCUAUCCAAAAAAAGGAAGAGCGCACCAAAAAAAUCCAGAAAAACGCCGCAACUUACGCUCUCCUAAUAAUAAUUUUACUUGACAUACAGGAAUUGAUGAUGUGGCAUAGGUGCAUAGAUAAGAAACAUAGGUAGUGGGUUUUUUAGCGGAACUUGCUACUUCAAUUAAAUCAGGUAGUGGUACACUUUGCGGCUAUCACCGAGUUCGCAAACUCUGGUGAUACCCAGAUCCAGUCUUACGAAGUAUAUUUAAGCGGCCUUAUUCGCCUACUGACGCACCCACUUUACCAUAAACUCCUCAAAACCAUGGAGUUCUUUCACCUUCUCCACGAACGGCUUGUUUGCUGAUGGAUCUUUCAUCUUGGCUAAUCUUCUGCACCACCAACUGAAAAUUGGAUUUGAGAAUGAUAUUUUGGAUCCCCAUUUCCCUAGCUAGCUGCAAAGCUCGUUUGCACCGCCUGCUUAGGUUCCGUUGUGGACGGAAAAAUGACACGUCCCCGCUCAGAAACAGCCAUGGUGGUCCUAGAGAACUGCUCCUCCACUCCAUCCAUCCCAAACUAUGUUCAUAUUAGGAUUUUUUAAGCCAAACUUUGUCAAUUUUGACGAAGUUUACACAAAAAAUUCUAAACAUUCGAGAUACCAAAUCAGCAUAAUUAGAUUCACCAUGAAAUAUAUUUUCAUAUACUAUAUAAUUGGCAUUAUAAAUUUGGGAAAUUUCUUUAUAAACUUGGUGAACGUUUGCGAAGCUUGACUUUUACAAAAACCAAUGCACAAUAUAUUAUGGGCCAAGGGGAGAAUAGAGGAGUAGUGUUAAUUAUUUGGGAUAAAUUAUUUUUGCAUAUUAGGAGGGGUUGCCCUCACUAGAUCCACCCUGCUUAGUUGUUGGUAAAACAUGUUGAGUCUGGCGAGUCCCACUUUGCCUAGAAGGCCAGAAAUAACACCACUUUGACCAGAAAAUAACAGAGAAACAUGCGUGCCACUUAUAUGUACUCCGUUCAUGCGAGAUUAAAAGCCCAGAUGGUGUAGGAAGCACGUGAGUUUCUCUUAGACUGGCUGAUUAGGAAGCACCUUAGCCUAGAGGGCUGAAGAGAAUAUGGGCGUUUUGUAGAAAGAGAGCUGAUGAGAUUAAUUGUUCUGUUUUUAUAGGGGUAAGCACACUGCAUGUGAUGCAAUAUAGCCAUAACUAUACGAAGCUCAUUGAAUGUUGCCACGCUCAUUAACCCCGCACCAUUAUUUAAUCAUGCCUUGGUGUCGGUGUACUAGCCUGCCAACCUUUUAAAUGCAGACAUAGGUAGUAGUUAACAUUUUAGUUAAUACCAUGUGAAUCAAACUCUAGUCAUGACAGGACUUGACACAUUUAGUAUUUGCCAAUGUGUCCCCGUAGAAACACUGGACUUGAGUGGUUGCUCACUUGGCUCAAAAUCUUAUGGAAAACCCACAAAAUAUACAUAAUGGAUGGUGAAUUGAUUCAUAGUAAUUUAGCAGCUCACCCCAGGGGUGCAUGAAGGGAAAUGGCGAGAACGGAGGAGGAAUACCACUGGGUGGAGCUUGUCAUCGCAAUGCGCCGAUAACUUUGAUGGCCAUUAACUCAUUUUUAUUUGUCAUGAAUAUAAUCUACAUAUUAGUAUAGUUUAUUAUCUUUAUGUAAAAAAUUGGUUAAUAGUCUGUCCGGUGGGCCUACCGAAUGCUUGUUCUACCAAGACGCUUUGUGAGGCUUGGCUUGAUGAACGUGCAAUACAUCAAACUCAGAAGUGGACUUGGACUGACUUGUCAAAGUUUAGGAACCAUCGAAACUGAAGAUCUUUCUUUGUGACUAGCCCAACAAUAUUUACCAACAUCUGACCUGCUUUAACAUAGACAUGCGUCACAUGUGGCUGCGGUAUUUGUGGGAGGGACGGUUCAUGGAGACACUGCUCUUGGAACUCAACAUUUCAUGUUGUGUUUGGGAGCCCGAGGACCCAUACUUGCUUGAUGUUUUGAUGGCAAAUAUGGAACAUGACGCAAGAUGAUGGAUUUUUAUACUCAUGGAUUCUCACCCCCAUGGCUAUUUGCUAUGGUCCUAGUUUUCCUUUGGAUCUUCUUUUGUCAUUUGUAGGGAUUCAUCAGGGAAUUAUAUGUUGAGUCAUCUUCCGUGAAACUCCUAGGUGUUAGUGACCCUGCAUGUCUAGAAGUAAUUGCAUGUUGCGAGGAGCUCACUCUAGCUUCUGAUAUGAAUAUUUGUCAUCUGGUCAUUGCUUCUGACUGCAGGAUGGUUUUUGAAGACAUCAACAAUGAUACUGGCAGCUUGCAUGGAAACAUCAUUAAGGAGAUUAGAGCUACGGUUGCUCUUUUUGGAUCCUAUUCUUUCAUCUUCGAAAGUAGGGAGUCCAACAUCGAGAUGUGUAGCCACCUUAGACACGCUAUGGGUGUCUCAAGGUCGUCAUUUAUGUCUUCUACAGCCUCCUAAUUUACAUUGUAUUCACAUGAACAUUUUGAACACUGAAUAAAGUUGAUCCAUUUUAUCCUAAAAAGAUAGUAGAAGCACUCAAGUGAACUCUUGUUUCAGGGUUUAAGGCCAUCUCCAACGCUUGGGCGCUUAAAAUCUUGAGCAAAUCAAUAUGCAUAAAGCGUUUGGCGCUAGCAGAUGCAUUUUGUUUAUGUUUUUUAAGUGCCUGACUCCCCCUUAUGUGUCAAUGCAAGAAAAAAUAGCCGGGAAAGAAGCAAAAAUGCCAAACAGUCGGGAUUUAAUUCCUAGCACCCAGAUUGUAUGUCCUAACACGCCGUUCCUUGGUUAUUGGUUGGCCAUGCUCACACGUGUACACUAUUGGGCUGUCCCAAUGUCCGCAUUUGGGAAGCUUCUGGGUUAGGAUUUUUUCUAUGUUCUAUGCCGGGAUUUUUCUACUUUUUUAUGUUAAUUUUUCCUCUUUUUUAUUUUUCCAUCUUUCAUUAUCUCCUUUUGUGUUUUUCAUAUUUUUGAAAUCCACGACCAUUUUCAAAUUUAAAACUUUGUAAGCUCGUAACAUCUUCUCCAAAUCGUGAACAAAAUUCAAAUCCGGUGCUAAGGCGCUGACUAGCGGGAGCAACUAACUGGAGUUUACCCCUGCGAGGGACAUCUAUGGGUUACUUUUGGCGUCAGUUCACUAGCGGGAGCACAUAUUUUCUUGUGGAAAACACACUAAAUAUACAUAAUGGAUAGUGAAUUGCUUGGUAGUAAUUCAGCAACUAACCUUAGGGGUGGAUGAAUGAGUUGGCGAGAGAGGAGGAAUACCACUGGCUGGGGCUCGCCGUCGGAAUGCUAGCCGAUCAUUGUGAUGCCCAUUAACACAUUUUUAUUUGUCAUAAAUAUAAUCUAAAUGUUAAUAAAAUUUCAUAUUUUCUGUGAAAAAUUUCUUAAUAAUAGAGAAUAUAUAGGACGAUAGUUUGGGACACCUAGGUGCCCAGGCACCUUGCCUAUCCGUCGUUGGAUCGUGUUCAGCGACUGAUUUGGCAACAAAUGUAAAUGCCUUAAUUACUAGUUAAUUUGGCAGGCUUUAAUUCUUUAACCAUCCCAUGCAUGCAUGUCACCUCAUAGAAAAGGAAGGAGAUUAAAAUACCAUACUGAAUAAAAAUUAGCACUUAUUGUUUCGUAGAAUAAGUCACUAGGUAUGUAAAUACUCGUGUAUUUUACGUAAUUUCAGUAGUAGGCAUAGACAUACACACCACAUAAUUGGGUAUAUACAUACUCGUACAUAUACUUUUUUGCAUGGUAACCACAUACAUACAUAAUUUCGUUACUUGGUAUAUGCAUACCCACGUAUGUAAAUAAAUUUUUUAGUAGGUAUAUGCAUACCCACGUAUGUAUAUAAUUUUGUUAGUAGGUAUAUGCAUACCCGCGUAUGUAUAUAAUUUCGUUACUAGCUAGAACAUAGAAUAGUUUAUUAUAUACAUACCCGCGUAUUAGAUACUCAUAUUGAAUUGUUAGGAAACAAAAAAAGAACAUAGUAGUUCAGAAAAUAAUUUAUUGGGUAUAUAAUACCCGCUUAUGUGCAUAAUUUCGUUAGUAAGUAUUUGAUACCCGUAUUAGAUAGUCAGGAGAGAAAAAUACGUAUAUUAGAUACCCAUAGUAGGUCAGAAAAAAUAAACAAUAAUACGAUUUAUUGUAUGGCAAGUCUUGCAUGCCUAAUAUUUAAAAAUGGAAACAAAAUGUAAGAAUGGUAAGCCUUGCAUGAAGAAUAGUUAGGAAAGAAAUCAAACAAUCAUUGUGCAGCGAUACCUACCUAAAACAAGCAAGGUGCCCGAGCACCUAGGUGUCCCAGAUAAUUUACCUAUAUAUACAUGAAAAUUUAAAAGUAUUCAUGUGCCUAAAACUUAUUGUUCAUCUCGUAUUAAGAGAAAUAUUUAUCACAUGUUAGAAUAUAGGUUCAUUUUUUAAAAUUGUUUCCAUNNNNNNNNNNNNNNNNNNNNNNNNNNNNNNNNNNNNNNNNNNNNNNNNNNNNNNNNNNNNNNNNNNNNNNNNNNNNNNNNNNNNNNNNNNNNNNNNNNNNNNNNNNNNNNNNNNNNNNNNNNNNNNNNNNNNNNNNNNNNNNNNNNNNNNNNNNNNNNNNNNNNNNNNNNNNNNNNNNNNNNNNNNNNNNNNNNNNNNNNNNNNNNNNNNNNNNNNNNNNNNNNNNNNNNNNNNNNNNNNNNNNNNNNNNNNNNNNNNNNNNNNNNNNNNNNNNNNNNNNNNNNNNNNNNNNNNNNNNNNNNNNNNNNNNNNNNNNNNNNNNNNNNNNNNNNNNNNNNNNNNNNNNNNNNNNNNNNNNNNNNNNNNNNNNNNNNNNNNNNNNNNNNNNNNNNNNNNNNNNNNNNNNNNNNNNNNNNNNNNNNNNNNNNNNNNNNNNNNNNNNNNNNNNNNNNNNNNNNNNNNNNNNNNNNNNNNNNNNNNNNNNNNNNNNNNNNNNNNNNNNNNNNNNNNNNNNNNNNNNNNNNNNNNNNNNNNNNNNNNNNNNNNNNNNNNNNNNNNNNNNNNNNNNNNNNNNNNNNNNNNNNNNNNNNNNNNNGGGACCAACAGGCAUCCACGCGUCAGCAUUUCAGGGGCUGGGGUUUUUGUUUUUUUUUAAAGGGGGGGUUGGGGGGUUUUGGGGGGGGGGGUUAAUUUAGGUGUUUCAUAUAUUGUGUUAGCUAGCUAAUUAAUAGAGAGAAGUGUCCUCUCUUAUCUCCGUGCUUGGUCGACGCUACGUACUAUAUACGUAUGGAGAGGACUAGACACGCUAGCUAGUAAGCAAAUGAAGGAAACAGAAGAUCGUCAUGAACAUAUGCAUACAGAGAGAAGUGAUAUCGACCACCUCUCCUUCUCUGAGAGAUUGGUCGAACAACAAGUUCUCGUAUAUCUAUCUGACACUACCGGCUACAUAUAUACAAUAAUUAUCUCUUACAAUAUAAUCUCCUAAUUAAAUUGUAAGAACACAGGGUCCACAUAGUAUUCUCCGUUCUCAGCGAUCACGUGGUCAAGGAAGAAUGCCGCCAAUUCCUCUUGAAUUGCUCGCAUACGAUCUGGUGCUAGGAGUUCAUCCCGCAUCCGAAACAUCUAAUUUGAAGAAGGGGGUCAAUACAUAUAUAUAUAUAAAUAAAUGAAACUCGACACAAAUGAUGGUAAUAAAAUAAAAUUGUGAAUAUUAUUGCUUACGCACUUCAUAUUGUUCGUCAGAGUAGCCCCGCUCACAGGUCGUGUGGCGGAUAGACUCGCAAACGUAGUAUCCACAGAAAUCAUUCCCGUAUUCCUGCCACAACCACUUUACAAGAAAUAGAGGUCAAUCUAACUGAUAACCAAGCAUGCUAAAUGGUAUUGAUGAAACUAGCGCUUGAAUCACUAGGAGAUGUGCGGAACAUGCUACUAUAGUACUUACUUUCGGGUGUCUAAAUUGCAGCUUCUUCGGCAGUCCCGGAGCUUUUGUGGUGAAUUUUCUCCAAACCCUGCCAGACAAAGAAAACAAUUACUUGAUAUCAGGAAAUGAACAAAGUUGCUGAUAUGGUGGAUAAUGAUCGAUUUAGCUUACUUCUCGAGCAUUUGAGUCAUGUCCGCAUAGUCCUGGGGAUCUUUUCGUCUCGAGUCUAAGACGGUUACUACUCCCUGCUCAAGCUUAAUCUCUAGGAGAAUAUAGUGAAAGCUGCGCAUGCAUGCAUAAGUCAUCAAUUACAUUACCAUAACCUGGACUAAUAAGGGAAACCGAAUAUGCACAAGACAGUAACACUCACUUGAAGUUGUAAGGAAAGAGUAUUAUAUCUUUGUUUUGAUUUAAUACCAUACAUUGAAACUAUGUAAAACAUUUCAAUGCGAAAACAAAUGCGAUCAUAAUCGCAACCAAGGUAACAAUUGAUCCAACGGCAUAAUGAUACCAAGCCUCGGUAUGAAUGGCAUAUUUUCUAAUCUUUCUAAUCUUCAAGUGCAUUGCAUCCAUCUUGAUCUUGUGAUCAUCGACGACAUCCACAACAUGCAACUCCAAUAUCAUCUUCUCCUCCUCAAUUUUUUUUAUUUUUUCCUUCAAGUAAUUGUUUUCUUCUUCAACUAAAUUCAACCUCUCGACAAUAGGGUCGGUUGGAAUUUCCGGUUCAACCACCUCCUAGAUAAAUAAAAUCUAUGUCACCUUGGUCGGCAUAUUUGUCAUAAACAAUAAAUGAACCAAAUAGUUAUAAAAAGAUAAUAUAUACCACAUCCGAAUCAUAGACAGGACGAGGGCCGACGGGGGCGGAUACCAAAACCAUCGCACUAUGUAAUAAGAAGGAAUAAUAAAAGUAACAAAAUUAGACAAGUAUCUAUUUAAAGUAAGAAUUUUUUUCUUUCAGAAAGAAGAUAAGAACAAGAGGCUCACCACGGUGGUGCUGGCGACGAGAUCGGCACGGGCGAUCGACGGCGGUGAAGACGGGGACGGGACGUGACGGACCGCUAAACCUAGACAAAUCUCGGGGAAAAUGGAGCUCGAAGGUCGAGUUUCGAGAGGAGAAAGAUUAACUAGUGUGGCUCAGACAUUUCAUCGAACACCUCAUGUGCAUAGGAGGUGAGCUAGAGCACCCAAAUGCCCUCCCCUCGCCGGCCAGAAAAAACAGAGCACUGUGGAGUGCUCUGCUGUGGCGAUGGGGUAUAUAUAGGCAACUCAUUGGUCCCGGUUCGUGGCACCAACCGGGACUAAAGGGGGGGCAUUGGUCCCGGUUGGUGCCACGAACCGGUACGCAUGCCCCCCUUUAGUCUCGGUUGGUGGCACCAACCAGGACCAAAGGCCUUGUGCUGCCCCGCAUCAAAAGUUUAGUCCCACCUCGCUAGUUGAGAGAGCUCGAGAGUGGUUUAUAAGCGCUGUUGUUCCCACCCUCUCGAGCUCCUCUCAACUGCAGGCUUUCGGGCCUAACCGUUCUCUUUGCCUGUAGGGCCUACUGGGCCUUCUGCGGGCCUGAAUCCUGGCCCAUGGAUGGGUUUCAAGUCGUAUUCAGGCCGUGGUGGCCUAGUAGGUGGCAUAAUUUUUUUCCCUGUUUUUUGUUUUCUCUUUUGCUUUAUUUAUUUUGUUUUGUUUCUACUUACAACAAAAAACUUAUUUAUUUUAUUACAUUUUGUUUCUAAUUACUUAUGUAUUUUACUUUAUUUAUUUUAUUUUUAUUUAUUUUACUACUGCUAUUUUUAUUUAUUUUACUGCUGCUAUUUUUAUUUAUUUUAUUAAGGUUUAUUUAUUUUAUUUACUAUAGUUUAUUUUAUUUUAUUUUAUUAAGGUUUAUUUAUUUUUAUUUAUUUUAUUAAGGUUUAUUUAUUUUAUUUACUAUAAAAAAUGAACAUAGAUACGCCUAUAGAGAAAAUUCAACCUAAAUUCAUAAUAAAUUUCUAUGAAAUUCAAAGAAAUUUACUCUGAAUUUAGGUCAAAUUCCCUGUAUAAGGGCAUCUAUUUUCACUUUGAGAGGAGCUCAACAAGGCAGAGAGGGAGGGGCUUAUAAACCGGUGUGAGCGCCCUUCGGUUGGCGAGGUGGGACUAAACUCUGACUGCUACUAGGACCAAACCUUUAGUCCCCGUUUGUGGUAUGAACCGUGACUAAAGGGUGAGCCUCUGGUCCCGGUUCAAGCCACCAAUCGGGACCAAUGGUGGUGGGCCAGGAGCGAGGCCUAUUGGUCCCGGUUUGUCCCACCAACCGGGACCAAAGGGGCCGGACGAACCGGGACCAAUGCCCCCACGAGGCCCGGCAGGCCCCUGGCCGCACGAACCGGGACCAAUGCUCACAUUAGUCCCGGUUCGUGACUGAACCGGGACUAAUGUGGAUAUUGCCCUGUGAUCAAAGCCCAGUUUUCUACUAGUGCAUAUAUGUCGCUAUGAACAUGUAAUCCUAUAAACCACUCAAUGUCGGAGUUAGCACGCCUUCAACGAAAAUGCCCAAUGGUUGGUCUCACGGCCAUUAUGCGGGCCACAUUGUUUUUCAGUUGUCUUUUAUGUUCUCUUUAUUUUUGUUAUUUUAUUGAGUUUUGAUAUUUCUUUUAGUUUUUCCCUUAAUUUUUUGGACUUAGUUUCUAUUUUUGGAUGAAUAUGUAAAUGCUUCUAAAAUUGAUAAACAUAUAUCUCAAUGAUUAGUACAGAUGAAAACCUCUUCUCAAUUGUAUGACCUUUUCUUUAAAACGGAUGAAUAUUUAUUUCCAUUGGAGGGGCAUUUAUUUAAUAUGACAUGAAUAAUUGUUAAAUAUAUAUCUCACUUUUAAUUUCACAUGUGCAUUUCUCCAUUAUUAAUUUCGUCUUUGUCACCAUUUUUAGAAUUCCUCACCUAAUUUUUUAUUAUUUUCAAAAACAAUUGCGCAAUGUUUUUACCAACCCAUGUCUCUACACCAUAGUAUACAAAUUCCGCUCCCUUGAGAUCCAUGAUGCAUGGACAAUAUCAAAAAUUCACCUUUUCAGAGCACGACUUCUAUUUUUUUCUCUCUUAGAGACAAAAUGGGUCAUUUCUUUUGCACAUAUACAAAAGAAAUGAGCAUGUGCGAUGUAAAAAUGUUCAUAUUUAACAAAAUUGUGUAUUUUUUUAAUGUUUUUUGUUGUGUGUUGGUAGGUUGUUGCCAAUCCCGACAUGAAUAAAAAUGACAUAUAGCCAUGGUUUAGCUGAACGAUUUGUCCAACUAUUUCUCAUUUUAGUUGGUUCAUCUCAGCAUGGAUUUACUUAUGUAUAACUCUGAAGAGGCACUUGGCUACAAACCUUUAUAUUUCUAGAACUAAGAGGCUAGAAAAAUAUAACGCCAAAAUAGAUAAGAGUGACGAAUAUUGGUGAGAGGAGUAGAUUGGAUGCGGGGAUAAGGUAAAACACACCUCAAUGAUCCCAACGCAAUCGGUGUGGAACCGUCCAAAGACCAUCAAGUCCAGGUGGAGAAAAUGACUGCGAUGCGUUAGGAGCGGCGAUAAUAAUACGGAGGACGGCGGAACAGCAGAGGCGGGAAGAAGGGGUGAAGCGAGGAAAAGUAGGGCAAAAAGAGAUGGCCGAUGCGCAUUAAGUGAGGGAAGUGACUGCAAAGUUUGGAAUGGCGGCGUAUAAAUAUACACCACAGCUUGAUCACACUUUAUUGUACACCUUCAUUGUUGGGCUUAAAUGAACCAGCACAAGUGUCGUCACCGCUGACAAGAAAAAGAAGUUGACAUUAGCGAUGAUUCUUCUGCAUUUUCAUCAUGGGAAAUUACUACCAAAAAUAGUUUCCCUUUUCAGGAGAGUUCUUUCUUUCGAGGCUGUCCUUUUUUUUUAGAAGAUUGAGGCAAUCCUUUUUUUUUUGAGCGACUUGAUGCAAUCACACAACAACGACUUACUUUCCAAUCUUUACAUAAUAAUAAAGCAUGCAGUGCUUCUGUCCGUUAACCGUCACGCACUUUUUACAAAAAAUCCCUUGUGUUUUUCGGUAAUUAAACCCGCAGUCCCCUUUUAAGUGGAUAUCUAAAAAAUGAUUUGUUCUGGCACAAAACCCCCUGCCAUUCGGUAUAUUCAACCCGUGGUGCUCCUUCCUCUCCAUAUUCUGUAUCUUAUCCGCCCCCUUUCUAGCGGCGGAGGACAGGGAGGUUUGGCCGGCGGGGAUCGGGGAUCGGAAAGUCCCUUGAUCCCGCGAGACGCAGCCAUUGUACCUACCAUCUCUUGAGCUAGGAGCCGGCGGUGACAUCCCGGAGUGUGGCAUGUGAAGGAAAUUGCCCUAGAGGCAAUAAUAAAGUUGUUAUUUAUAUUUCCUUAUAUCAUGAUAAAUGUUUAUUAUUCAUGCUAGAAUUGUAUUAACCGGAAACUUAGUACAUGUGUGAAUACAUAGACAAACAGAGUGUCACUAGUAUGCCUCUACUUGACUAGCUCGUUAAUCAAAGAUGGUUAAGUUUCUUAGCCAUGGACAAAGAGUUGUCAUUUGAUGAACGGGAUCACAUCAUUAGAGAAUGAUGUGAUUGACUUGACCCAUCCGUUAGCUUAGCACUAUGAUCGUUUAGUUUAUUGCUAUUGCUUUCUUCAUAACUUAUACAUGUUCCUAUGACUAUGAGAUUAUGCAACUCCCGAAUACCGGAGGAACACUUAGUGUGCUAUCAAACGUCACAACGUAACUGGGUGACUAUAAAGAUGCUCUACAGGUGCCUCCGAUGGUGUUUGUUGAGUUGGCAUAGAUCGAGAUUAGGAUUUGUCACUCCGAUUGUUGGAGAGGUAUCUCUGGGCCCUCUUGGUAAUGCACAUCACUAUAAGCCUUGCAAGCAAUGUGACUAAUGAGUUAGUUGCGGGAUGAUGCAUUACGGAACGAGUAAAGAGACUUCCGGUAACGAGAUUGAACUAGGCAGUGAGAUAUCGACAAUCGAAUCUCGGGCAAGUAACAUACCGAUGACAAAGGAAACAAUGUAUGUUGUUGUGCGGUUUGACCGAUAAAGAUCUUCGUAGAAUAUGUAGGAACCAAUAUGAGCAUUCAGGUUCCGCUAUUGGUUAUUGACCAGAGAUGAGUCUCGGUCAUGUCUACAUAGUUCUCGAACCCGUAGGGUCCGCACGCUUAACGUUCGGUGACGAUCAGUAUUACGAGUUUAUUUGUUUUGAUGUACCGAAGGUAGUUCGGAGUCCCAAUAUGAUCACGGACAUGACGAGGAGUCUCGAAAUGGUUGAGACAUAAAGAUCGAUAUAUUGGAAUGCUAUGUUUGGACAUCGGAAGGGUUUCGAAUGAGUUCGGGCAUUUAUCGGAGUACCGGGGGUUACCGGAACCCCCCGGGGAGUCAUUGGGCCCUAAUGGGCUUUAGUGGAGAGAGAGAGAGGGGCGGCUAGGGCAGGCCGCGCGCCCCCUCCCCCUUGGGUACGAAUUGGACUAGGGAAGGCGGGGCGGCGCCCCCCCUUUCCUUCCCCCUCUCUCCUCCUUCCCUCUUCUCCUACUCCAACAAGGGAAAGGGGGAAUCCUACUCCCACCGGGAGUAAGACUUCCCCCCUUGGGCAUGCCAUAGAGGGCCGGCCCUCCCCCUCCUGCACUCCUUUAUAUACGGGGGAGGGGGCACCCCAUAGACACACAAGUUGAUUAUUUAGCCGUGUGUGGUGCCCCCCUCCACAGAUUUCCACCUCGGUCAUAUCGUUGCUGUGCAUAGGCGAAGCCCUGCGCCGGUAGUUUCAUCAUCACCGUCAUCACGCCGUCGUGCUGACGAAACUCUCCCUCGACCUCAGCUGGAUCUAGAGUUCGUGGGACGUCACCGAGCUGAACGUCUGCAGGUCGCGGAGGUGCCGUACCUUCGGUGCUAGGAUCGGUCGGAUCGUGAAGACGUACAACUACAUCAACCACGUUGUCAUAACGCUUUCGCUUUCGGUCUACAAGGAUACGUGGACACACUCUCCCCGCUCGUUGCUAUGCAUCACCUAGAUGGAUCGUUCGUGUGCGUAGGAAUUUUUUUAAAAUUAUUACGUUCCCCAACAACGCGACUUCCCUUAUUCUAGCACCCAACCGAGGUGCCCGACGUAUCUCCAGGCUGUCCGUCGUCAUGGCCAGGGCAAAGGCGAUAGCGACCUCCUCGGUCUUCGUCCUGUGAACAUUGAGAGAGGGAGAGAGAAGGAGAAGAUAGGAGGAGAUGGACGGAGCUGGGCGGUGCGGGGUCAAAGCUGCUGCUCCGGCGGCGUCUAUGGGCGUCGGCGGCGGGGAACACUAGGAGGAGGCGGAGAGAGAGUCUCGACACUGCUCGAGCGUGCUCGCGCACACCUCGGGGAUACAGCGUGUGUGGAGGUGCUCGGCAGUUGGUUAAAUCGGGGGAUUCUGAAGGAGAGAGGUUGGCAAAGUAAAAGUAUUAGCGGGGGGUGCCCUGCAAGUCACUCAUGGUCCGUCAUGUCUUGCGCCAACCAGGAUGUGUGGUCAACGUUCGAGCUGCGUGUAGCCACACUGUCAGUGGCGCUCGACGUGUGGCCAUUGUGUUCCUGGGAAGUAGCAUUGUGGUGUAUCGGCUGAUUGACAACAUUAUGUGAGGCGCCCCGCAACCAGACAGCAAGGGUGCUCGCGACCCUAUUUGUUUUUUUUUUAUAAAGAGUGAAUUUUUAUUGUCUCAAAAUAAAGCAUCAAGAGGAUACAAACACUAUGAGCACACACCCGACUUCUGCAUAGGUAAAAUGCACACAGCAAAGCGAACCUCCUAGCUAACACGCUGUUUUGGUCAGUGGAUUGUUAGCCAUGCUGCACGUCGAUUUUUGUGCCUGCCUCCUUCAGUUUAACAUUUGGUCUUGCAUGUUGAGUUGACCCAACUGGUAUAUUUUUUUGCGGGCGCCUCCUACUGGUGUACGCCCCUUAUUAAACUCCACAUGUCCUUUUGUAUUCAAUCUCUAUGGAAUUUUGCAACAUCGACUAUUCAAUGUGCCAACCGCUGCUCUGAAAAUAUUUGAUGCUGGAUUUGAGUUUCUUUUAAUUAAAUUCCCUGGUUUCAUAUGAUUUGAAUUUCUUUUAAUUAAAUUCUCUGGUUUCAGACUUAGUCCUUUUUGCGGCUGGUAGGUUUGCACACCUGAGGAGCUAGCAGGGGGUGUUCCUUCAUCAUCUUCGAGGGGUCGCAUCGUAGGAUAUGGCAAUGUGAUGCAUGUUGGCAAAAUCUUAUCUGUAAGUCGGUCUGGCUGUAAGACUUGGUGAUUUCUAAUAAUAGAAAUUGGAGAGGAAAUUCUCUUUAUCAACAACAACAAAAUCUGGUUUCAUAAGUUGUGUCACAUGAAACUCAAUCCUCAAAUUGACUGCGAUAAAAGUAGCAUAUAUCUUAUUUGUGAUGUAAAUAUUUAGUUUCAAUAGUUGUGCAUCUGCCCCAAAAAUUUUGCUUUGCUGAACCAAUACUCGAAUAACUAGCUCGCCUAUGUUUUCUGGUGGUGUUAUAUCAGCAAGUUGAGCACGAUGAUAAUUAAUGACACAAGUAAGAAACAUGUACUUUUUUCUCCUGUUGCAACGCACGGGCAUUUUUGCUAGUGAUAGGCCUAAUAUAGGCCCAUCACUAGUUGAUCCGUGGCCCAAAAUAAAACCCUAAUUACCCGAAACGAAACCCUAAUCGAAAUUGCUAUAUAAGGUCCCCAAUCCCCUGCCCUCACAGUACCCAUCUCAGCCGCCACAGAACCCCAUCCGAGCACAUCUCGCAUCUAUCCUCCACCUCCACACGGCGGCAGGCCAGCAAGCUCGACUCCGUCCCUAUUUUUGCUCUCGGUAGCAGCGGUUGAGAUGAGAUUACCCCAUACCCUGCAGAGAGCGUCAGCUCGACACCGUACACGCGUAUGGGGUAAUCUCAACUCAACAGCCGCUCCAUGUGAGCUUUUCCUUGGUGUUUGUUAAAUCUCAAGAAAGUUGUCCGCAGGGAUUAAUUAAAGCUUUCAGACAACAAGGUUAGUGGUGCAAUUUCUUGGUUAUUGACAGAAUUUUUUAGUCUUCGU